GAAAAUCCAAAACAGAAAGAAAUUGAAAUACAUACUACAUGGCCAAGUAAUACACACUAAGCAAAUUAGUUAUUUAGCAAGUCAAUACACACAUCUAGGUAAAUUGAUAUACAAUUUUUAAAAUAUGGUGUUUACCUAUACAAAAUAUAUGGUCAAAUGAUACAUACUUAGCAAAUUACUCAUCUAGUAAUCCAAUAUACACUUCCAAGCAAAUUAAUACAUAAUUUUCAAAAUAUCAUAUUCACUAAUACACACUACAUGGCUGGUGAUAUCACUACAAGAAAAGGGAGUAAUGCCGACAGAUACAUGUCGACGCUAGGUACAAGCGUCAAUAAUUUUCGUUCCACGCCAAAAUUUGCCGACGCUUCUAAGUAGCAUCUUAGAUGGAAUAAAACUAAGAUGAUGCUAAAUAACAUCGUCAAAAGCAAAUUGUAAGAUGACACUUCUAAACGUCGUUGGAGGCCAAAGAGAAAAAGGAGCAGACGAUGCUUCCUACUCACUAAACCCCUCAC
rnacentral:lncRNA from 1 species